CAGCGAUAUUUUACAUUAUGGUUUGUAUUGCCAGGAACAGUAAUGCUUUAGCAAGGACAUUUUUCAAUCUUAUUUUUCAGUUAUGUGAAUAGAACUUAAGUGAUACUCGACAGAGAUGGAAACUGCAUAGAAGAUAGCCAUGCCGCAGUCCAAAAGAUACUUUUGCUUAACACAGUGAAAGAAGCACUUUUUCCUGGGCUUAUCUGGACUAACCACCGUCAUCUUUCAAAGGCUCAGCAGCUUCACUGCAUUUUCUGCAGCACUCAUCUGGUGUCCACUGAUGCAGACAAAGACUUGAACAGCAGCACUACUGAACAAAGAUCAUAGAUCCUUCCUCCGAUUCAUCAAUCUUCUUGAUGAACCUCAACCUGCCUGACGUCCUGGGUAAGGAAAGACACAGGUAAGAAAAACAGUGCAUGAAAUGAACAAACCUGUAAGAACAGAUACUCUACCUAGACAUUAUAGUGCUUAUUCUAUUAGCCAAACCAAAAAGUUACACAGUUUGAUGACUGUUUUUGAACCUAGUUAAUUAAAUAACACACAAGAAGUCAUUCUUAUCUUGUAAUCAUGCACAUUCUUGCUAGAAAGGAACAAUUAUUUUUGCUUCCAUUUAUUUUAAUCAGAUGCAUUAUUAUAAAGGGAAUCUCCCCGAGAUGAACGGAGUCAUAAAGCAGGGCAUGCAUCAGCUAUGCAAAACUUUUAACAGGCUUCAAAACAGGACACCCACAUACCUUU